UGACAGCGGAAUUUCGAGAAAAUUCAAUUUGUGAUUUAAAUAAUAUUGUUUUAUGUUUAUUUGACGAACUUUAGUGCUUAUAUUUGUGUGUAUGUGUUGCAUAAUAAGUGUAAAAAUAGUUUUGAACCAAAUUUAGUGUUAAUGAAAGUGUUAUUGUAUGUUUGUGCUUAAUUGUGUUAACAAAGCUUGUCUGGUGCCAACUGAUGCUAGCUUGACUUCCGUAGAAGAAAUGAGUAGCUGCACCACGCUGUGCGAAAUGAGUAGCUGCACCACGCUAUGCGGU